UACGAAGGGAGCUAGCGUUGCUCGGAAUCACUGGGCGUAAAGGGUGCGUAGGCGGGUCUUUAAGUCGGGGGUGAAAUCCUGGAGCUCAACUCCAGAACUGCCUUUGAUACUGAGGAUCUUGAGUUCGGGAGAGGUGAGUGGAACUGCGAGUGUAGAGGUGAAAUUCGUAGAUAUCCGGAAGAACACCAGUGGCGAAGGCGACACACUGGCCCGUUACUGACGCUGAGGCGCGAAAGCGUGGGGAGCGAACAGG
rnacentral:rRNA from 1 species